GAUGAACGCUAGCGGCAGGCCUAAUACAUGCAAGUCGAACGGGAUUAAGAGGCUUGCUUCUUAUGAGAGUGGCGCACGGGUGCGUAACACGUAUGCAACCUACCUUCAACUGGGGGAUAGCCUUCCGAAAGGGAGAUUAAUACCGCAUAAUAUAAUUGAGUGGCAUCACUUGAUUAUCAAACGUCAGGGUUGAAGAUGGGCAUGCGUCCGAUUAGUUUGUUGGUGAGGUAACGGCUCACCAAGACUACGAUCGGUAGGGGAUCUGAGGGGAUGGCCCCCCACACUGGUACUGAGACACGGACCAGACUCCUACGGGAGGCAGCAGUAAGGAAUAUUGGUCAAUGGACGGAAGUCUGAACCAGCCAUGCCGCGUGCAGGAAGACGGUCCUCUGGAUUGUAAACUGCUUUUGUUAGGGAAGAAACUUCCGUACGUGUACGGGACUGACGGUACCUAAAGAAUAAGGAUCGGCUAACUCCGUGCCAGCCGCCGCCGUAAGAC
rnacentral:rRNA from 1 species